rnacentral:tRNA from 1 species
GAGGAAUGUUUAAUUGAGGCUGCUAACUUUGAUUAGGGGGAAAGUUUUUAUCUCCUCCCCUCUU